rnacentral:rRNA from 1 species
UACGUAGGGUGCAAGCGUUAAUCGGAAUUACUGGGCGUAAAGCGUGCGCAGGCGGUUUUGUAAGUCUGACGUGAAAUCCCCGGGCUCAACCUGGGAAUUGCGAUGGAGACUGCAAGGCUUGAAUCUGGCAGAGGGGGGUAGAAUUCCACGUGUAGCAGUGAAAUGCGUAGAGAUGUGGAGGAACACCGAUGGCGAAGGCAGCCCCCUGGGUUAAGAUUGACGCUCAUGCACGAAAGCGUGGGGAGCAAACAGG